rnacentral:lncRNA from 10 species
CUAAGGUCCAAUUAUUCCCAUUGUGUUUAGGUUUUCCAGUUGAGUGGCUGUGGUUCCCACUGUAAGAUGUAAUCAAAGUGAAGAGUGAUCGUGGAGCUCUCCAAGGAUGCUGGGGCUCCCCUCAUAAAUUUAUUUCUCAUAAUGUGUAAAAGUUACGUCUUCUGGAUACUCCCAGUGUGGCCUCCCAGGCCAGACCCAGGAGGAUUUGGGGGAGGCGAGAAGAGCAGCUGCAGACACCAGGCCUGAAACACUCAACAAAGUCAUAUUGCAUAGAACAAGGCUACUCUGCUACUCAGCCUCAGCCCUGUGGCCCACACGACUGCAGCCCCAGGGGAAACUCAACUGUGCAAAGUAGGACCACACAGGCCCAGCGUGUCCCCCAGGAGAAGGCAGCCUGGACAUCCCCACAGAAAUGAAAACUCCUGACCUGCAUACUGGCAGGGCUGUUGUGAGGCUGCAGUGAUGGGAAACACCCUGUGAAGGAUGGAGCCUGACCAUUAGCACUGCCUUGCCAUUGGGAUGUCAACCCAGAGAGAGAAGGGCUCUCUGGAAGACCCCACCCCUGAUGGAUUGGCACAACCCUAUCCUCUACCCAGACUCCACCUGACACCAUACCACACUAAGUAAGUGCUAUCAGAAUGACUAUCAGCGAGGCCAAAGGGCCUCUCCCACCAGUUUUGGGCCCACCCUACCCUAGUGAGCAACCCAACCCCAAGUCCCAGCAACCCACUUCCAUUGUGCCCUGGUCCUGUUGUGAGAAGCAGGCCAUAGCCAGCCCAGGCCUGAUUUAUGGCAGACACGCCUUCUCCCCAGCCAUGUGGACCUGACCAGAGAGCAGCCCCAUCAACUCCACUAAAAGAGUGCCUUCGUCUAAUAGGAAGAUUUCCUAUCACAGAAUCCAAGAAAAAUGUCUGUGAAGGUUCUCUGCUGGCCUUCCCAUGUCCAUCCUCACUCACCACCUGUCCCCCUCGCUCAUUGCAGGGGAACGGCUCUGCCAUAGCACCCUGAGACCUUGCACAUCUCUCUCAGGCAAAGGUUUCAACCUCUGCUAAACUGGGUCUUGGCAAAAUGCCUUGUGAUCCACCCAGAACACGAGAGUUCAGGUGGCCUGUGAGGCACAGCCUUGAAGCCAUCUCCCCUGGGAGGCUGUCAUGAGACUAUUUCCCCUGGCUCCUGGGGUUCUGAUGCAGUAUGGGACUUCUUGUCCUCAGAACACAGCUGCGGUCUCUAAGUCCUCUUUGCUGAAGGUAGAAUUGGCCCCUCGGCAUCUGGGUAUUCCACAGCUCCCACUGCAGCCAUCUGGCCCCUUUUGUUUCAAUGUCAUCUUUUCUGGUGUGGGACAAGUGCCCAGGGAUCUGGAACCCUUGGCUACUCUUCCAUUCGUUAUAUGAAUAAUCAACUGUCUGAAU